UUAGUUUGUGUACAACAGUUAACAACUUUAAGCUUAUACAUUAACUUUAAUUAUAACUUAAUUAUUAAUGAUUUGAUUUAUAGAUUUUUAAAGCAAUACAAGAUUUAGUUUAGCAUAAGGCUAAAUUUCUGCUCUGGAGACAAAAAAGGAAGACAGCAAAAAUGACCAGUCAAAAUAAAGAUUGAAGAGACAAAAAAUUUUGUAUAUCUUGGUGUAGAUGAUUUAUGCUCAUUUUCUUAUAAUAAAACAAAAAAUAUUAUUAAACUUUGGGAUUUACCUGUAAUUCCAAAAUCUUUACAGAAGUUUAAUGUUUGCUCUGAGAAGUUGAAUGAACAAAAUUAUUAAAUGUGUUUAUUCUUAGUCGUCAUUGAAGUACAACUUGGUAAACUACAAAACACAUCAAAUUCAGUUAUAAAAAAGAGUGUCAUUGCUAUUAAAAGCAGUGAAGAAUUCAAGUACUCUGGAAGAAAAGAAAAUACGUAAGUAAAUGGUCAAUUAUUUGGCACAAAUCGGAGUUAAAGACUAGUUGUAAAAUCAAACUAUGCAGAGAGAGGACAAAAAAUUGGAAUAGAAAAAAUGUUGAUUGCAUACGCUGCUAUUGAAACUGUGAAGUCAAAUAAGCACGGCUUAUGCAGACAUGUGAUAGCUAUAGAGGAAGAAAAAAUAAUAAUCUUGGGCACCAAAUAUCAUAAGCUAAACAUUAUUCAAUAACAAGUAGCUCAGCCAAUAUCGAAACUACUCUAUAAAUUUUAUAGUGAAUUUUUUUAUUU